GUGCUCGUUUCGGCAGCACAUAUACUAAAAUUGGAACGAUACAGAGACGAUUAGCAUGGCCCCUGUGCAAGGAUGGCACGCAAAAUCGUGAAGCGUUCCAUAUUUUA
rnacentral:snRNA from 1 species